AUGACAGUUUUAUGCCUGUGUCUUUGUGCUCUUGCUUAUAUUGCUGCAUGUAUAUUUUUUCAGGUACCUGUAGACCUUGUUGUGGAUCAUUCAGUACAAGUUGAUGUGGCAAGAUCGGAAAAUGCUGUUCAGGCAAAUAUGGAGCUUGAGUUCAGCCGUAACAAGGAGCGGUUUGGAUUCUUGAAAUGGGGUUCCACUGCAUUCAAUAACAUGCUUGUUGUUCCACCUGGAUCUGGAAUUGUUCACCAGGUGAAUCUUGAAUAUCUGGCCAGGGUUGUCUUCAACAAUGGUGGGAUACUUUACCCUGAUAGUGUUGUCGGCACAGAUUCACACACAACUAUGAUAGAUGGUCUUGGUGUUGCUGGAUGGGGAGUUGGUGGUAUAGAGGCAGAAGCUACAAUGCUUGGGCAGCCAAUGAGCAUGGUCUUGCCAGCAGUUGUUGGUUUUAAGUUAUCAGGGAAGCUGAGGAAUGGAGUUACAGCCACAGACUUGGUUCUAACAGUAACUCAAAUGCUUAGGAAACAUGGUGUUGUUGGGAAGUUUGUUGAAUUUUAUGGGGGAGGUAUGGGUGAACUAUCUCUUGCUGAUAGGGCUACUAUCGCAAACAUGGCACCAGAAUAUGGUGCGACUAUGGGUUUCUUCCCAGUUGAUGCAAAGACAUUGGACUACCUGAAGCUAACUGGCAGAAGUGAUGAAACUGUGGCCAUGAUAGAGACUUACCUCCGUGCAAAUAAUAUGUUUGUCGACUACAAGCAGGUUCAAGCUGAAAGAGUGUAUUCAUCUUAUCUGGAACUUGACUUGGAUGAGGUGGAACCAUGUCUGUCCGGACCAAAACGGCCUCAUGAUAGAGUGACAUUGAAGAACAUGCAGUCAGAUUGGCUUUCUUGCCUGGACAACAAAGUAGGGUUCAAGGGUUUUGCUGUCCCCAAGGAAUCACAGGGUAAAGUUGCUGAGUUUUCAUUCCGUGGGACGCCAGCAAAGAUAAAGCAUGGUGAUGUUGUAAUUGCGGCUAUCACCAGUUGCACCAACACAUCAAAUCCUAAUGUAAUGCUGGGAGCUGCUUUGGUUGCCAAAAAGGCUUGUGACCUAGGCCUGGAGGUGAAACCAUGGAUUAAGACAAGUCUUGCGCCAGGUUCUGGUGUUGUGAAGAAGUACUUGGACAAGAGUGGUCUGCAGAAGUAUCUUAACCAGCUUGGUUUCAAUAUUGUUGGCUAUGGGUGUACAACGUGCAUAGGAAACUCUGGAGAUCUUGAUGAAUCCGUAGCUGCUGCAAUUACCGACAACGAUGUUGUCGCUGCUGCUGUGUUGUCUGGGAACAGGAAUUUCGAAGGCCGUGUACAUGCGUUGACCCGAGCAAAUUAUCUCGCAUCUCCCCCAUUGGUUGUGGCCUAUGCUCUCGCUGGCACGGUUAAUAUUGAUUUUGAGAAAGAACCAGUAGGCAUCUCAAAAGAUGGGAAAGAGGUUUUCUUCAGGGAUAUUUGGCCUACCACUGAUGAGAUUGCUGAGGUUGUUAAGGCGAGUGUGCUCCCAGACAUGUUCAAGGGCACAUAUGAGGCAAUCACCAAAGGAAAUCCUAUGUGGAAUGAGCUGCCAGUAUCAGCAAGCACUCUCUACCCAUGGGAUCCAAAAUCAACAUACAUCCAUGAGCCUCCUUAUUUCAAGGAUAUGACAAUGACCCCUCCUGGCGCACGGCCUGUGAAGGAUGCGUAUUGUCUUCUCAACUUCGGUGACAGUAUCACAACUGAUCACAUAUCCCCAGCUGGAAGCAUCCACCCAGACAGCCCAGCUGCCAAAUAUCUAAAGGAGCGCAAUGUUGAAAGGAAGGACUUCAACUCAUAUGGCAGUCGACGAGGGAACGAUGAGAUCAUGGCUAGGGGAACUUUUGCCAACAUUCGCAUUGUGAACAAGUUCUUGAAGGGAGAGGUUGGCCCCAAAACCGUCCAUGUUCCAUCAGGGGAGAAGCUUGCUGUUUUUGAUGCUGCUAUGAAAUACAAGAAUGAAGGGCAUGACACUAUCAUCCUGGCUGGUGCUGAGUAUGGCAGUGGAAGCUCAAGGGAUUGGGCUGCAAAGGGUCCAAUGCUUCAGGGAGUGAAGGCCGUGAUAGCCAAGAGUUUUGAGAGGAUUCACCGUAGCAAUCUUGCUGGAAUGGGCAUCGUCCCUCUAUGCUUCAAGGCUGGGGAGGAUGCCGACAGUCUUGGCUUAACUGGCCAUGAGCGUUACACCAUCCAGCUUCCGACUGAUGUGAAUGAAAUCAAGCCUGGCCAAGAUGUUACAGUCACAACCGACAACGGCAAGUCGUUCACGUGCACACUCCGCUUUGACACCGAGGUGGAGCUUGCUUACUACACCCAUGGUGGUAUUCUACCAUAUGUCAUCAGAAAGAUUGCAGCCGAGCAAUAG
rnacentral:rRNA from 1 species